CCCAACCCUGGUUGACGAACUGUCACCCGCACAAAAGGUAAAGCAGAAUAGAUGAAAAGUGAGCGAAAGUUAACGUGAACAAUACAAUCACAAAGUUACGUAUAAAUUACAAAGUUAUAUAUUUAAAAGUAGUAAAAAUACUCUAUUGGCCAGUGCCCAGAGAUUAGCCCUUUUUGAUUCCGUCACAUACGAUACAGAAUACAGAUUACGAUUGCCACGCUAAAAUUACAAAUUAUUUGUGCAACUACGAAUAGAAUUACUACAGAUUCAAAGCAAACACUAAACGAAUUUAAUAUCAUCCUGAAAAUAAAAGGUGUUAUAAAAUCGGAAAAUUUGCUUUCUAUUCAGUUGCUUGCGCAACAGUGGUGGACAUCCAAUGUAUUAGAUUACCAGUUUUAAUACAGAAAAGUUAUUAUAUUUAGUAUAUAUCAAUACACAUGACGUUAGACCAGCGAUACUCAACCUGCGGCCCGGCAGUCCUUCUGGUUGGCCCAUCUGGUGUGUAUGAUGUUUGGAACUCAUACACAUAAGUACUUUUGCCUUGACAUCAUUGCAGACGAAAGAGAGGAUACGGUUAUUCACAAUUAAUGAAAAAUUGCAUUCUCUGCAGAUAAGACUGUUUUGCUGAAAUGCAAGGAGAUUUAUUGAAAAAUAGUUAAGUUAGGGUCAGGACUAUGUCUUCUGAGUAUUUAGACAACAUCGAAUAAAAAUUUUCAUUCUAUUUUCAACAACUUACAUUUGCUUUCGGGUCUGCUUAUGACGAAAUAUGGGUUACUGUUCGAUAUUGUUACGACAGACAUGGUUCAUGGCCGUGUGGUGAUCUAAAACUUGUAUAGCCUUGCAUGGCGGAUGGAAAAUAUACACUGCAUUUUUUUAUAAAUUUCAUCAACGACAAGACCGCAAGCCUUGGUGGAUGUCCAAUGUAUCAACGGAGAAAUACUGUUUUUUAUAAAAAUUAACAACGCGUAUGUAUGUGUAUGUAUGUGUAUGUAUGUAUGUGU